rnacentral:lncRNA from 1 species
GGAAACUGGAGUCGUUUUGGCACACUGGGCAUCAGUCAGCUGCUUGCGUUUCUCUGCAUUCCCGGUGCCCGCGGUGCUGCCCUGCAGGGAUCCYGCAAAGCUGCCUGCCUGUCUGCUGCUUUUCCAGCCUGGAGCUGGGCUGCAGGAGGGGAGGCCGCCCUGCCUCUCGCGCCGGAUGGAGCAGGAGCCAGCGAGCAGCUGGAUCGGUCCUUCCCCCCGCCGACCUCUCGGGCACCGGACUUCUUCCCUCGUGCACUGCUGUAUUUGGCAAGGUCUGAAAAUAAAGCAGAAAGAUUCGGAGGCGGGCUGCUUUGGGGCUGCUUUGUCCUUUUGAGGCCGCCAGGUCCUGCUCCGAGCACGGCGGCGCUUUGGGGAGAGCCCAGCCGGCAGCAUCACCCCAAGGAGCACAAACCCCACAGAGCAGCAAGAGGAGGGCGGCCGACACCACGUGGCAUCCCACUCCGGGGUGAAACCGGUCACCAGGCAGCAGGAGCMAUGGAGGAGUGCCGCCUCUCUCCCAUCCACACCCGGCAGGCUCGCGAUGCUGCCGGCUCUGCCCCGCUCCCGAGGCGGGACAUCCCACGCUGGGCGACGGAUCCCCGGCACGCUGGAGCGAUCCUCGCUGGCCGGGCGCUGCCGGCUCCCCCCGCCCCCACAGCGCUGGGGCCUCACAGCUCCAACCAGGAAACUAUAAAACUUUACAGAGUGCGGCUGGAGAGAAGCAGGAAUUGCUCCGGUAACUGCCAGAAGGGCCAGCGUUCGAUUCACGAGAUUUUCCAGGGCUGGGGCUCGCCAGGAAGGGAUUUAUCCAUCUAGGAGGAGCUGUAAAAACUAAAAUUAAAUUCUUCAUCUUGGAAGGGUGGGGGGGAGGGAAAAAAACCCCAAAUCCUCCCCAAAUGCUCUGCGGGAGGCCAGGGAUGUGGGGUGCCGGCAGGUGCAGCUGCCGGCUCCCUUGUCAUGGGGCCCCGGCGUCCCCCAGCCACGAGUGCUGCCGGCUGCCUGCGUGCCGCAUGCCCCAGCAGCGAGGAGGGUGCAGGGCAGUCCGUUUCUCCCAUUUAUUGUCCCUCCCCCGGCUGAUGUUGGGAAAACAGGUUUUCCCCACUGCCUUGCUCCUCCCUGUCCUGCGUGCCGCCGGCGGAGGUGGCGGGCAGGGGCAUGCCAGGGUCACCCGGCYGCAGCACCCAUGGGAGAAAAGCCUCCUGUGGUCCUUCAUGUCUUCUCGCGUUUUUUUCUGACGUAAAUGUGCAUAAAGAUGCAAAGAGUCACCCUGCCAGC